GAAAUCCAACAAAUAAAUAAAACGUCUAAGACGGCGUGACAACAAUGUGUGUUUGGGUGUGUGCCCGUGUUCCUCUGUCUGAGCACACACUCACACCCGGGAAGGAAGACAAACGGGGCUCGUGCCUCCGAGUAAUUAAUCCUCUCGCUAAUUGACUCUCUCCCUUUACCCACUGCCGGUGGUCACCGCUGCUAUCAGAGGAGACAUCAAAUGGGAAGAAAACAGGGUGAGAGAAGAGGCUGUGAGUCGCCCCAGAACCCCUAGACUAGGAGAGCUCGGGCCUGGAUGCGCCGUGCCUUUGCUGUGGCCUGUGGGAAAGGCCUCUGGGCCUCAGUUUCCUCAUCUGUUACACCAGGGGAUUGGACUAAAUGGUUGCUAAGCUCCCUUCCGGCUCCACUCGCUUCAGACCGCGACAGAUAAUGUGCGAAUACACUCUGUAAAAGGAAGAAAGGAGCAGGCAAGGUGUAGCUGAUUAGCAAGUUAAUGAUUUCACUACCCCAAGGGUUCCCUGCAUGCGCUGGAGACAGCUCACAGCACCAGGCUCCAGAGGAGAGUGGCCUUCCUGACUCCUGUUGGUGUGAAGAUUAUACUUUCUGGUGCUAGCAGUCAGCUGAUGUCCCUGGUGGCCCCCCUAGCAGCUGAAAUGGUGGGGAGGGCCCAGGAACUGUCUGGGAAGAUAGUUCUGGUGAUGCUUUGUGACUGGUGGCAGGAGAUUUGGGGAGGUGUUACUGUUUACAUUGGACUUAGCCAGGCUUUAGGGCACGGGCUGGGAGGGUCUGGGUAGGAGAAAAGUUCACCAGAGAAACUUAGGGCACAGAGAAACACAGGACAACAAGCGGAUGGAAGCGUUCCUUGCCUCCUUCCAUCUUGGUGCUUCGAGGGCCCACCCAAUGCUCGGGGUGGUAGGCAAUAGAGUCCAGAGAGCAGGGCUUUGGGAUUGCAUUUGGGGUGUGGGCCCUGCCACUUGGGAGAUGAAGGAAUGUUGGGCAAAAAUGUAGGAGGCCUGGUGGCGUAGGCUUACAGGUUAUUCUACUAUCUUGUAGGUCAGCAGUUUGAGAACCACCACUCUGAGGGAGAAAGACAGGCCUUUCUCCUCCCUGUAACAGCGA